rnacentral:rRNA from 1 species
GACGAACGCUGGCGGCGUGCUUAACACAUGCAAGUCGAACGGAAAGGCCCUGCUUUUGUGGGGUGCUCGAGUGGCGAACGGGUGAGUAACACGUGAGUAACCUGCCCUUGACUUUGGGAUAACUUCAGGAAACUGGGGCUAAUACCGGAUAGGAGCUCCUGCUGCAUGGUGGGGGUUGGAAAGUUUCGGCGGUUGGGGAUGGACGCGCGGCUUAUCAGCUUGUUGGUGGGGUAGUGGCUUACCAAGGCUUUGACGGGUAGCCGGCCUGAGAGGGUGACCGGCCACAUUGGGACUGAGAUACGGCCCAGACUCCUACGGGAGGCAGCAGUGGGGAAUAUUGCACAAUGGGCGGAAGCCUGAUGCAGCAACGCCGCGUGCGGGAUGACGGCCUUCGGGUUGUAAACCGCUUUCGCCUGUGACGAAGCGUGAGUGACGGUAAUGGGUGAAGAAGCACCGGCUAACUACGUG